rnacentral:rRNA from 1 species
CCUACGGGGAGGCAGCAGGAAGGAAGAUUGGGCAAUGGCCGUAAGGUUGAACCAGCCAAGGAGCGUGAAGGAAGAAGGAUCGAUGGUUUGGAAACUUCUUUUAGAGGGGAAGAAAGGUAUCAACGGGGGGAUAUUUGCAUGUACCCGAGGAAUAAGCAGCGGCUAACUCCGUGCCAGCAGCCGCGGUAAUACGGAGGAUGCGAGCGUUAGCCGGAUUUAUGGGGUUUAAAGGGUGCGUAGGUUGUUUUUUCAGUCAGCGGUGAAAGUUUGUGGCUCAACCAUAAAAUGGCCGUUUCAACUGGCAGACUUGCGUGUGUUUGCGGUAGGCGGCCUGCGUGGUGUAGCGG